rnacentral:rRNA from 1 species
CCUACGGGAGGCAGCAGUGGGGAAUAUUGCACAAUGGGGGAAACCCUGAUGCAGCGACGCCGCGUGAGUGAAGAAGUAUUUCGGUAUGUAAAGCUCUAUCAGCAGGGAAGAAACCCACCCUCCGGGGUGGCUGACGGUACCUGACUAAGAAGCCCCGGCUAACUACGUGCCAGCAGCCGCGGUAAUACGUAGGGGGCAAGCGUUAUCCGGAUUUACUGGGUGUAAAGGGAGCGUAGGUGGCAAGGCAAGUCAGAUGUGAAAACCCGGGGCCCAACCCCGGGAGUGCAUUUGAAACUGUCUGGCUAGAGUGCAGGAGAGGUAAGUGGAAUUCCUAGUGUAGCGGUGAAAUGCAGAGAUAUUAGGAGGAACACCAGUGGCGAAGGCGGCUUAUUGGACUGUAACUGACACUGAGGCUCGAAAGCGUGGGGAGCAAACAGGAUUAGAUACCCCUGUAGUC